CCCACAGAGUGUCUGUGGCUCCUUUCAGUGACUCAGCACCUCAGAGACAAAAAGUAUUCUGGAGGGAAUGUUAGGACAGGCCACACUGCUGUUUACAGGAAAGAAAGAGAUCAAAUGCUGCCUACAGGGAAAGCUGAAACACCAAACUUAAACACUGAAUAGCAAAAACAACCGAUGGUGGAAGUCCUGUGAGCAAGAGGAGUCAAUCCAGAGUUUGCGACAUCAAAAAUCCAAGUUUAGAUCUUGGAUGCCAGACCCCAGGCACUGCAGCUAUUUCUAAGAGAGUUAUUAUCUCUCAACUCCAGCUUCGGGACGAAGGGAAAGAGGUGGCCAUGGCAAUGAACGCUUCAGUACGUAAAAUAAAGGUAAGGAAGAAGGGGCUGAACAUCAAGACUGUACUGAAGCUGUGUGAAGAGAGACCGUGUAUGUGGAAGCAGGUGAUCACAGGAACAGAGGCAGAGGAGGCCCGGAGACACAAGACCCUUCUUCCUUUGCUGCCUGAGCCCCCUGAGUUCACAAAUCGCUUGGCAAUGUUUUAGAUGCCACAGGACCUGGACUUGGUGGCUGCAAGAACAGAAGCCCACUAAACUCAGCUCAGAUCAAAGGUGGAGGGGAGGCCUAUCGCAGAGCGUUCUGUGAAGUAAGAAGCUUUGCUCCACUUUGAAGCAGGUGUUUUGCCAAGGGAAACGUGUCUUUUGAAAUCAGGUACAUUUUCUUGGGUGUUGGAAUACAUGACUGUGGCAAAUGAUUAUAGAAAUGCUAUGAUAGUCUUUGGGGCUAUUUUAAAAUGUCAUACCAUAUGAUUUUUGAAUCAUAAAAGCUUACAAGUGAUACCAGUUCAAAUUGAAUAUUAUAUGACUAAGGUACUUAAGAUAGUCUGAAGCCCCCAGGGAUUUUCUUUUGUGUCUCUACAGGGAGAAUGUAGGAAAAUUGAAGGCAUGUAAUAGCGUAAGAGACUUUCAGUUGUUUAUCAUAAGGAUCUCCUGGGUUUUAAAUGGAAUUUCAAAAAAUAAUUGUUUCAACCUGAAGAAAGAUUUCCAAAAACAACAAAGGCAAAAUUUAUUUUCCAGAGUUCAACUUGUGUUUUUAUAUCUAAUGCUUUCUACAUGCUGGCGAUAAAACCCCUUUAUUCUUUACCCCUACAUUUAAUGCUGGCCUUGGAUUCUUAAAAAAGCUUUUAUUGGCUUUAAAUAUUUUUUUCUUAGCUAGGGCCAAACUUGUUUUUGUGUUUUUUUUUAUUUUUUAUAUUUUUAAUCUUUGAACCAUGAAUAAGUUAGAUUCCGAGAACUUGUUUAUUUUUCCUGAUUUUUCCCUUGGAGAUUUAAAUUAUCAGUCAUUGUACUUUUUCCAAUCAAAUUUUCAGAAGCCUUUAAUGACUCUAGAUCUGAUUUAACUCCUAAUUGCUCCAUAUACUAUUGAAGGAAAGAGCAAUUUAUUUUCUAAAACUAAUUAGACUUACAUAACAGUUAUCUUUUUCAUGGGGUCCCUUCUAUCAAGAUGAUUUUUCUUCAGCCUCUAGUCUGAAGUAUUUCUGUUUACCCAUAUAGUGUCAACUCGGUGCUCCUCCCUUUUGAAGCCUAUUCUGGAAAUCCCUUGGCUAUUUUGCUAUUCUUUGUCCUAUUUUCCAUCCUCUAAUAUUGCCAUUACCGCAUAGGAAUUUGACUGUUGACAUGUCUUUUUCCAUACUAGAUAGCAGCUCAUAGAAGUCAGGGAACUUAUUUUUAAAUCCACAGUGCCAGUGUAUUGCCUACUGCAAAUA